CGCUGCGGAAGCUCCAUAGCCAAGGCCGGCAACCGUGUCCGCAAUGAGUCAUCCUCCUGAAACUUGUGAUCUUGCAUAUAAUUUGCAGGCAAGAUAUCACGGCUAACUUUUCCUUUUUGUUUCUUCUCUCUGCUGGAUGCCAUGUGGUACUUUUCAGUUUGGUCCCCUUGCAAAGUACCAUUCUUGGCUAGCUUGUAGAUUGGUUGCUCCUCUUCAUCAUCAUUGUCAUUGUCGAACUGACUCAAACCGGAGAAAUGAUUUCUAGUGGAGAAACUACUCAGAUGACCAAGAUCAUGCAUCUUACCCACUGGUUCUGCUCCCAAGCCACGACUUCCAGUUCUCUUUGGGCGGAAAAGUUCACUGGAGUCGCUCAUCAUCCUAGAAGAAUGUAAUGAACCAUCACCAACCGGUAUACUGUACUUACCCUUUUGACCAAAUUUAGCGCUUUUAGUAUCCAAUGCAGGCAUCAAAUUUGUGGAACCACUGGGAUAUGCCCACUUGCUCCUCAUCAAUGGAUUGUUAUCCUCGUCACUUCUUUCUGAUGAUUCAGAUUCAGUUUCUUCAGUCUUUGCAAAUACCCUUCUACCUCUAGUUCCUGACCCAUCUUGUCCUCCAUUCUGCAUUUUCGCCUUGACUUUCUCAGGGAAGGCUUUUCCCCUAUAGUCUGACUGAAACAACUUAUCAUUUAACUUGCGAUCAGGAUAUUCUUGGUCCACCUUCCACUUUUUGCUCACGUUACCAAGCUUGUGUGAUGGGUUGGUAAAAUAAUUAUCCUCUUGUGCUUUACUUGGCCAAAAUGGUUCACUUCCGCUCGCUAGUUCCAUUCCAUUUCCCUUCAGCGACAUUUUAGGAAUCCGGAUUUUACCAUAAUUCAUCUGAUCUUCAGAGAAAAACUGUGGGAGACCAUCCGCAUACCUGUCUUUUUUUCCAAAUUCAUACGCAGCUCUGGCAUUGCUUGGCUUUGCAGUCAAGACCUUAAUAUCUGACAGCUGAUUGACAGUAUUGUUCCUUCCAUAGGCAUAAAGAUCAUUCUUCGACGGGACAGGCACACCCAUGAAAACAUCAGAGUAUUCUUCCACUCUCGACCUUUCAUGCUUUUUCCCCAAUUUUAC
rnacentral:misc_RNA from 1 species